UACAGCCAUAUCACAUUGAAACACCAGUUCCCAUAUGAUCAACAAAGUUAAGCUAUGUUGAACUUAGUCAGUACCUAGAUGGGUGACUGCUUGGAAAUACCAGU
rnacentral:rRNA from 1 species